AGACAUGGACGACGGAGGUCAAAGUGUAGUAUCGGUUCAUAUCAGCUUAAUAUCUGAUGCGGGUUGUAUUUGGACCCAAGUUAUUCAAAUUUUUUUUGCACGUUGGCGGAGGGCUUGAAGCCUGCUUCACCUCCACCGCGGGUCGGCCCGGUAUCGCACUAUAUUCGGGAUCGGCCCAUGGGGA
rnacentral:snRNA from 1 species